rnacentral:rRNA from 1 species
AUGGACGUGCGCGGCGCUCAUGCCUCCCUGUGGCUUCUCUACAUCCACCCACUCAUCUCAUGCAGCCGUCGACGGGACGGUGGCAUAGCCGACGUCUCUUGCCGCCUUGGACACCAUGGACGCAGCGAGGCCGUGGGUGCCACACAUACUAUGGUGCUGCUAAUGGCUGCUCUGCUGUUGCUAAUGGCUGCUCCUGGUGUGUGUGUGAUAAUAGCGUGUAGUUGGGUUAUUGCUAAUGGCUAUUGUUGUUGUCAAAAGUUCUAUGUUUGUUGUUGUGUGCUGGACAAUGCUAUGCUGAUGAAUGUUAGAUGUGCUGAUGGUGCUAUCGUGUUCGUGUGGGAGAUAGUUGGUAUGCUAAGGAUUGUUAGAUCAAACACUUUUCUUUUGUGCAAUAUUUAG